rnacentral:rRNA from 1 species
GGGCCCGCACAAGCGGUGGAGUAUGUGGUUUAAUUCGAUGCAACGCGAAGAACCUUACCAGGGUUUGACAUCCUGCGAAUCUCUUGGAAACAGGAGAGUGCCUUCGGGAACGCAGUGACAGGUGGUGCAUGGCUGUCGUCAGCUCGUGUCGUGAGAUGUUGGGUUAAGUCCCGCAACGAGCGCAACCCACGUCUUUAGUUGCCAUCAGGUUAAGCUGGGCACUCUAGUAGGACUGCCUGUGAUAAGCAGGAGGAAGGUUGGGAUGACGUCAAGUCCUCAUGGCCCUUACGUGUUGGGCUACACACGUGCUACAAUGGCAGUGACAAUGAGAUGCUAAACGGCGACGUUAAGCUAAACUCAAAAACCUGCCUCAGUUCGGAUUGCACUCUGCAACUCGAGUGCAUGAAGCUGGAAUCGCUAGUAAUCGC